AGGACGAACGCUGGCGGCGUGCUUAACACAUGCAAGUCGAGCGGAAAGGCCCUUCGGGGUACUCGAGCGGCGAACGGGUGAGUAACACGUGAGCAACCUGCCCUUAGCUUCGGGAUAGCUCCGGGAAACCGGAAUUAAUACCGGAUAUGACUAUGGCCGACAUCAGCCAUGGUGGAAAGUUUUUCGGCUAGGGAUGGACUCGCGGCCUAUCAGCUAGUUGGUGAGGUAACGGCUCACCAAGGCGACGACGGGUAGCCGGCCUGAGAGGGCGACCGGCCACACUGGGACUGAGACACGGCCCCAGACUCCUACGGGAGGCAGCAGUGGGGAAUAUUGCGCAAUGGGCGAAAGCCUGACGCAGCGACGCCGCGUGGGGGAUGAAUGCCUUCGGGUUGUAACCCCUUUCAGCAGGGACGAAGCGAAAGUGACGGUACCUGCAGAAGAAGCGCCGGCUAACUACGUGCCAGCAGCCGC
rnacentral:rRNA from 1 species